UGAACAUCCAGAGCUGCUGAGAACAGCUGCAGAUGACUGACUCAGUGUGUUUGCAUAUGUGUGCUGCCUCUCUGCUUCCAGCAGUUAAGAGCUCAGUGUUGAUCAGUGGCUGUCCAGACCUUUCAGAGACACUGACACACCUGCAGCACAAUGAGGAUGUCACUGACUCUGCUGCUGGCUGUCCUGGAGCUCCUUGUUCAGGGUUCAUCAGGUGAAAUCACUGUGACUCAGACUCCUGGAUCUCAGUCUGUUGUUCCAGGAGAAACUUUCUCCAUUAAAUGUCAAACCAGUUCAUAUGUUGGAAACGAAAUCGGAUGGUAUCUUCAGAAAUCUGGAGAAUCUCCUAAACUCCUGAUAUAUAAUGCUGUAACCCGUCAGUCUGGAGUUUCUGAUCGUUUUCGUGGAAGUGGAUCUGGCAGUGAUUACACUCUGACCAUCAGUGGAGUUCAGGCUGAAGAUUCAGGAGUUUAUUACUGUCAGCAUGAUUACAGCACUCCGUUCACACAGUGAAACAACGUCGUACAA